AAUCAACGCUGGCGGCGUGCCUCAGACAUGCAAGUCGAACGAUUAAACUUUCCUUCGGGAAAGAUAUAAAGUGGCGCACGGGUGAGUAACACGUAAGUAAUCUACCCUCGAGUGGGGAAUAACGUUCGGAAACGGACGCUAAUACCGCAUAAUGCAGCGGCACCGCAAGGUGACAGUUGUUAAAGAUUUAUCGCUUGAGGAGGAGCUUGCGGCAGAUUAGCUAGUUGGUAAGGUAACGGCUACCAAGGCUACGAUCUGUAACCGGUCUAAGAGGACGGUCGGUCACACUGACACUGAAUAACGGGUCAGACUCCUACGGGAGGCAGCAGUCGGGAAUUUUGGGCAAUGGGCGAAAGCCUGACCCAGCAACGCCGCGUGAAGGAUGAAGUAUUUCGGUAUGUAAACUUCGAAAGAAUGGGAAGAAUUAAUGACGGUACCAUUUAUAAGGUCCGGCUAACUACGUGCCAGCCGCCGCCGUAAU
rnacentral:rRNA from 1 species